AGCGGCGGACGGGUGAGUAAUGCCUAGGAAAUUGCCUUGAUGUGGGGGAUAACCAUUGGAAACGAUGGCUAAUACCGCNUANUGCCUACGGGCCAAAGAGGGGGACCUUCGGGCCUCUCGCGUCNNGAUAUGCCUAGGUGGGAUUAGCUAGUUGGUGAGGUAAUGGCUCACCANGGCGACGAUCCCUAGCUGGUCUGAGAGGAUGAUCAGCCACACUGGAACUGANACNCGGUCCAGACUCCUACGGGAGGCAGCAGUGGGGAAUAUUGCACAAUGGGCGAAAGCCUGAUGCAGCCAUGCCGCGUGUAUGAAGAAGGCCUUCGGGUUGUAAAGUACUUUCAGUUGUGAGGAAGGGNGNNNNGUUAAUAGCGNUAUCUCUUGACGUUAGCAACAGAAGAAGCACCGGCUAACUCCGUGCCAGCAGCCGCGGUAAUACGGAGGGUGCGAGCGUUAAUCGGAAUUACUGGGCGUAAAGCGCAUGCAGGUGGUUCAUUAAGUCAGAUGUGAAAGCCCGGGGCUCAACCUCGGAACUGCAUUUGAAACUGGUGAACUAGAGUACUGUAGAGGGGGGUAGAAUUUCAGGUGUAGCGGUGANNUGCGUAGAGAUCUGAAGGAAUACCAGUGGCGAAGGCGGCCCCCUGNNCAGAUACUGACACUCNGAUGCGAAAGCGUGGGGAGCAAACAGGAUUAGAUACCCUNNNANUCCACGCCGUAAACGAUG
rnacentral:rRNA from 1 species